UAGCUCAAAAUGGCGACUGAGGCUAAUCGCUAAUUACGUCUUGAAUUCUUGAAAAUUGAGUUCAGUGAGAAUGUGAAAAGGCUAAAAUGCCUACACCAGAAUCAACAGUCGCUUCUGUCUCGACGAUAGAGUCAGAAUUGUAUUUCCUCAUCGCUCGAUUCCUGUCUUCGGGGCCAUGUAAGAAGGCAUCAGAAGUGCUGCUUGGGGAGCUGAAAGAACACAAGGUUAGUAAUCGACAGUCCAUGUGAAGAACUUCUCUUUCGAGUUUCGCGCUUUUCGUCCGAUAUUUGUGAUUUU